UGUCCGUUUAUUUAGCAAAUAAAUAAACAACUUGUACUGCCAUGUAGCGAUUUCGAUAGACGACGCCUUCAAGGGAGGAGGAGUCUACAACAUAUUGAAUUUAUCGAUCGAUUGUUAGGCCGAUUUCGAUCAGCAUUGUAUAGUUAAUGAAUGACAACUUGACGAGAUCUUGACACGCACGUUGGAAGUGUACGCGUGUUUGCACCUCGAUGAGCGUUGCACAAUAACAAAGCUCCGUUGGUGAGCGUAUUGAUUAAUAAAGGUAUUUAAGGCAUUAUCCAAUUAGUCAUGCCAUAAUGUCUCACUUUGUUGGCAGCUAGGUGAAGUCCUUGAGUGCCCCAAGGACUUUGUUUUGUUUUAGCAGUAUUUUUUCCUUCAACAAUUAAUCUUGCAUCUCCAACCGUGGAAUGAGUUACAUGUGACUCGAGACAAACAAACAGUGCAAUUGCAACAAUAUAAUUAGUCAGCGGUAUGGUCACUAUCAGCAGCUUUACACACAGUGUGCAUCGUGAAUACAUCAAUCCCAGAGAAAACAUUCCAAUGGAAAAUAUUGAGAAUUUCUGCCCUUCUAUCCUGAACUAAACAAUGCUGGGAGAUUGGUUAUCUCUUCACAGAGAUGAGUCAUCCGCUCCUUGGACAACGCUGCGAUCGU